GAAUAUUGCACAAUGGGCGCAAGCCUGAUCCAGCCAUGCCGCGUGGGUGAUGAAGGCCCUAGGGUUGUAAAGCCCUUUCGGCGGGGAAGAUAAUGACGGUACCCGCAGAAGAAGCCCCGGCUAACUUCGUGCCCGCAGCCGCGGUAAUACGAGGGGGGCUAGCGUUGCUCGGAAUCACUGGGCGUAAAGCGCACGUAGGCGGCUAUCUAAGUCGGGGGUGAAAUCCUGGAGCUCAACUCCAGAACUGCCUUCGAUACUGGGUGGCUCGAGUCCGGGAGAGGUGAGUGGAACUGCGAGUGUAGAGGUGAAAUUCGUAGAUAUUCGCAAGAACACCAGUGGCGAAGGCGGCUCACUGGCCCGGUACUGACGCUGAGGUGCGAAAGCGUGGGGAGCAAACAGG
rnacentral:rRNA from 1 species